rnacentral:rRNA from 1 species
UGGGGAAUUUUGGACAAUGGGCGAAAGCCUGAUCCAGCAAUGCCGCGUGUGUGAAGAAGGCCUUCGGGUUGUAAAGCACUUUUGUCCGGAAAGAAAUCCUUGGCUCUAAUACAGUCGGGGGAUGACGGUACCGGAAGGAUAAGCACCGGCUAACUACGUGCCAGCAGCCGCGGUAAUACGUAGGGUGCAAGCGUUAAUCGGAAUUACUGGGCGUAAAGCGUGCGCAGGCGGUUUGCUAAGACCGAUGUGAAAUCCCCGGGCUCAACCUGGGGAACUGCAUUGGUGACUGGCAGGCUAGAGUAUGGCAGAGGGGGGUAGAAUUCCACGUGUAGCAGUGAAAUGCGUAGAGAUGUGGAGGAAUACGAUGGCGAAGGCAGCCCCCUGGGCCAAUACUGACGCUCAUGCACGAAAGCGUGGGGAGCAAACAGGAUUAGAUACCCUGGUAGUCCACGCCCUAAACGAUGUCAACUAGGUUGUUGGGGAACUUCAUUUCCUUAGUAACGUAGCUAACGCGUGAAGUUGACCGCCUGGGGAGUACGGUCGCAAGAUU